AACGCAUAUUGCGCCCUUUGGCAUUCCGAAGGGCAUACCUGUUCGAGCGUCAUUACACCCCUCAAGUCUGACUUGAUGUUGGGCCUUGCCCCUGGGCAUGCCUAAAAAUCAGCGAUGGUACGUCAAAGCACGGGCGCAUACAUGUUGCCACGUUGGGGCGGCGGCCAGUCUCGAUAAAUUUUCAUGUUGACCUCGGAUCAGGUAGGGAUACCCGCUGAACUUAA
rnacentral:misc_RNA from 1 species